rnacentral:rRNA from 1 species
GAUGAACGUUUGGCGGUGCGCCUAAUACAUGCAAGUCGAACGGAGACUGUAGCAAUACUGUCUUAGUGGCGAACGGGGUGAGUAACGCGUUGGUGAUCUGCCUCGAAGUGUGGAAUAACGUUCCGAAAGGAGCACUAAUACCGCAUGGUCUUCUGGUUUUUAGAACGCCAGAUGUAAAGGAUUUAUUCGCUUCGAGAGGAGCCUGCGUCCCAUCAGCUAGUUGGUAAGGUAAUGGCUUACCAAGGCGAUGACGGGUAGGGGACCUGAGAGGGUGGCCCCCCACAAUGGAACUGAAACACGGUCCAUACACCUACGGGUGGCAGCAGUAGGGAAUAUUAGUAAUGGGCGAAAGCCUGAACUAGCGACACCGCGUGUGCGAAGAAGGCCUUCGGGUUGUAAAGCACUUUUAGAGAGGAUGAGGAAGGACGGUACUCUCUGAAUAAGUCUCGGCUAACUACGUG